rnacentral:lncRNA from 1 species
AGGAUAUCAAAAUAUAUAAAAGUAAGCAUACCAGGAAAUUAAGGGGAUUCAAUACAUAAUAAAUAUACAUAUAUUAUUUUUUUACCUACCUACACAGUUUAUUUUUCGGCAAAGGGUAUCAUUUGACACCUCUUCCUAUAAGGUGGCUCUGCCAGAGCCACUAGCCACCGAACAUGACAAACUGCAUUCUUCAGUUCUCUGGUUAUUGCUAUAAGGUGGCUCUGCCAGAGCCACUAGCCACCGAACAUGACAAACUGCAUUCUUCAUUUCUCUGGUUAUUGCUAUAAGGUGGCUCUGCCAGAGCCACUAGCCACCGAACAUGACAAACUGCAUUCUUCAGUACUCUGGUUAUUGCUAGUACUCCCUCCAUUAUAAUUUGUGAACCUAUUUAAUUGGACAUAGAGUUUAAGAAAAAAUAAAAAAUUUUGAAAUUUGUGAUCCUAAACAAGUCAAAAAAAAAAUCCUGAUUAUAAAAGCUUCUCAUUAAAGUUGAAAUUGAAAGUUUAAGCUUAAAUAUUUCCAAAUUUAGAAGGGUUCACUCUUUCUGGAACGAACCAAAAAAAAAAAUAGAUUAAAAUAAAUUGAGACGGAGGUAGUAAUAUUUAUUCAUUGUGGUGAUAGCGAGUAGUAAAUAGUAUUUCAGUUUGUUCACUGUCCCGAUAGAAAAAAUAAUUGCACUCAAGAUAUCUACAUAAUCGUAUUCUAUAUAUUUAUCUCCCAUUAUUUUAUAUUAAAUGAGGUACUUUACUUUUUAGUAUAUUUCAAAAUAAAUAACACAUUUUUAAAUUUGAAAAUAAUUCAAUUUUAAACUCUUACAUUUUAUUCUUUUAUCCUUAAUGAAAAACUUUUAUAGCCACACAAAUGUCAUGACCCCAUAAACCUUUAAAAUCACAAAUUUCAAAAAUAUUUUUUUUUAAACUUCGUGCGUAGUCAAACUAAUUC